GAGUUCCUGAGAACCCGGAGACAACACAGAGGCAGCAGGACACCAACAGAAGAGUCCCAGCAUCAGUUCCUGGCCAUAGAAGCCCUCCCGAGCAGCAGGCAGGACAGAACCCCCUUCAGCAAUCAGCCCGCCAGAGAAGCCUCUGCCCCUGUGGCCUGAGGAUCCACUUCCCCCAGCCCAGGGAUGCAGGGGAGGCCCCAGAAAGUGACCACACCAGCUGCUGCCCUUCUCCGUGGCCAUUGACACAUCUGGUUCAUCUCAGCAUCCCCAGGUGUUACGAGGAGGGCGGCAUGUAGCCAGCCCAGGCCUGGGAAUGCAUCAACACAGGGCCCCUGGUGAUAGCUGUGGUCAUGGACAUGUUCACCGAUGUGGACAUCUUCAAGGACCUGCUGGACGCCGGCUUCAAGAGGAAAGCGGUUGUGUACAUCAUCGCAGACAAGAGUAAAGUCAAGUACUUUCUGCACAUGUUUGAGCGGACUCACAUGCACCUGGGGCACCUCAAGGUGAGCAGGCUCCUCACUUGCGUAUGUGACCGGAUGGCAGGGGUCAUUCAGUCUAUCAAACACUGCGAGUACCCACCUGCUCUGGACGGACUCCUGUGCCAGGCACUCAAAGA